rnacentral:rRNA from 1 species
CGUACACUCCUGCGGGAGGCAGCAGUGAGGAAUAUUGGACAAUGGGUGGAAGCCUGAUCCAGCCAUGCCGCGUGAGUGAUGAAGGCCCUAGGGUUGUAAAGCUCUUUCACCGGUGAAGAUAAUGACGGUAACCGGAGAAGAAGCCCCGGCUAACUUCGUGCCAGCAGCCGCGGUAAUACGAAGGGGGCUAGCGUUGUUCGGAUUUACUGGGCGUAAAGCGCACGUAGGCGGACUAUUAAGUCAGGGGUGAAAUCCCGGGGCUCAACCCCGGAACUGCCUUUGAUACUGGUAGUCUUGAGUUCGAGAGAGGUGAGUGGAAUUCCGAGUGUAGAGGUGAAAUUCGUAGAUAUUCGGAGGAACACCAGUGGCGAAGGUGGCUCACUGGCUCGAUACUGACGCUGAGGUGCGAAAGCGUGGGGAGCAAACAGGAUUAGAUACCCUAGUAGUCCCAUGAU